GAUGAACGCUAGCGGCAGGCCUAAUACAUGCAAGUCUAGGGGGCAGCAAUGUCACCGGCGCACGGGUGCGUAACACGUAUGCAACCUACCUUCUUCAGGGGUACAGCCUUCCGAAAGGGAGAUUAAUACCGCAUAAGACCACAUUGUUUCAUGACAGAGAGGUUAAAGAUUUAUCGGAAGAAGAUGGGCAUGCGUCUGAUUAGUUAGUUGGCGGGGUAACGGCUCACCAAGACGAUGAUCAGUAGGGGACCUGAGAGGGUAAUCCCCCACACUGGCACUGAGAUACGGGCCAGACUCCUACGGGAGGCAGCAGUAGGGAAUAUUGGGCAAUGGGCGCAAGCCUGACCCAGCCAUGCCGCGUGCAGGACGAAGGCGUUAUGCGUUGUAAACUGCUUUUAUACAGGAAGAAAAAGGCCAUGCGUGGCAAACUGACGGUACUGUAUGAAUAAGCACCGGCUAACUCCGUGCCAGCAGCCGCGGUAAUACGGAGGGUGCAAGCGUUGUCCGGAUUUAUUGGGUUUAAAGGGUGCGUAGGCGGCUUUUUAAGUCAGCGGUGAAAGCCGGUCGCUCAACGACCGAACCGCCGUUGAUACUGAUUAGCUUGAGUUUGAUUGAGGCAGCCGGAAUGGAUAGUGUAGCGGUGAAAUGCAUAGAUAUUAUCCAGAACGCCAAUUGCGUAGGCAGGUUGCUAAGUCAUUACUGACGCUGAGGCACGAGAGUGCGGGGAUCAAACAGGAUUAGAUACCCUGGUAGUCCGCACCGUAAACGAUGAUGACUAGCUGUCGGGCUUUCGGGUUCGGUGGCACAGGGAAACCGUUAAGUCAUCCACCUGGGGAGUACGCCGGCAACGGUG
rnacentral:rRNA from 1 species